rnacentral:rRNA from 1 species
GAUGAACGCUGGCGGCGUGCUUAACACAUGCAAGUCGAACGGAAAGGCCGAAGCUUGCUUCGGUACUCGAGUGGCGAACGGGUGAGUAACACGUGGGUGAUCUGCCCUGUACUUCGGGAUAAGCUUGGGAAACUGGGUCUAAUACCGGAUAUGACGAUCUCUUGGAUGGGGUUGUGGAAAGCUUUUGCGGUAUGGGAUGAGCUCGCGGCCUAUCAGCUUGUUGGUGGGGUAAUGGCCUACCAAGGCGUCGACGGGUAGCCGGCCUGAGAGGGUGUACGGCCACAUUGGGACUGAGAUACGGCCCAGACUCCUACGGGAGGCAGCAGUGGGGAAUAUUGCACAAUGGACGCAGGCCUGAUGCAGCGACGCCGCGUGGGGGAUGACGGCCUUCGGGUUGUAAACUCCUUUCGCAAUCGACGAAGCCUUUUGGUGACGGUAGGUUGAGAAGAAGCACCGGCUAACUACGUG